UACGAAGGGGGGCUAGCGUUGUUCGGAUUUACUGGGCGUAAAGCGCACGUAGGCGGAUCGAUCAGUCAGGGGUGAAAUCCCAGAGCUCAACUCUGGAACUGCCUUUGAUACUGUCGAUCUGGAGUAUGGAAGAGGUGAGUGGAAUUCCGAGUGUAGAGGUGAAAUUCGUAGAUAUUCGGAGGAACACCAGUGGCGAAGGCGGCUCACUGGUCCAUUACUGACGCUGGAGGUGCGAAAGCGUGGGGAGCGAACCGG
rnacentral:rRNA from 1 species